rnacentral:misc_RNA from 1 species
GAUGAAGAACGCAGUGAAAUGCGAUACGUAAUGUGAAUUGCAGAAUUCAGUGAAUCAUCGAGUCUUUGAACGCACAUUGCGCCCCCUGGUAUUCCGGGGGGCAUGCCUGUCCGAGCGUCAUUGCUGUCCUCAAGCACGGCUUGUGUGUUGGGCCUCCGUCCUCCUCCCGGGGGACGGGCCCGAAAGGCAGCGGCGGCACCGCGUCCGGUCCUCGAGCGUAUGGGGCUUCGUCACCCGCUCUUGUAGGCCCGGCCGGCGCUUGCCGACACAUCAAUCUUUUUUCCAGGUUGACCUCGGAUCAGGUAGGGAUACCCGCUGAACUUAAGCAUAUCAAUAAGCGGAGGA